GCGGGGGUGGUGGAACUGGUAGACACGCUAGAUUUAGGAUCUAGUGCCGCAAGGCGUGGGGGUUCAACUCCCCCCUCCCGCA
rnacentral:tRNA from 1 species